GCGGCUGGGCUCUGCGGACAAAGCACGCAGCGGGAGGGCUGGGUGGUGGGGAAGUGCGGCCGGACGCUUACCGGCCUCCCCCGGAGCUCCCCGGCCAGGGCUAGAGGGGAGCCCCCAGCCCCUGCUCCUCCCCUUUGGCGGCCGCCGCUCGGACGCCCGGCUGCGAGACCCAGAGGCGCCUCUAUCGGCCAGGCUGACGGGAGGGCAGCGAAAAACGGGUCCGCUCCAGCCGGCGACACGGAGAGGAUGAAUGACUGGGGGGCGGCAGGUGCCACCAGCCCUACCCCCGCCUCACUGACCGCUGCCAUUUGUGGUAAGCAGCUGGAAUAUGCCUUCUGGAAACUGGCUGAAAGACGUGGCAGCAAUGGCUGCAGAACUGCCAUCAAAAUAUAUUUUACAUGAAUACAGAAACUCUCCACUGAGAGCACAGCAAACAUGGACAAAGGAGACAAAAAUCUCAAACAAUCUUCAGCCUGGAGCUUUAUAGUCCAGUUCCUGUGUUUAAAAGCAGAAAUAUCCUAUUACUUUGUUGGAAACAUGAGGUUUAACACAAGGCCACUGAGGAAUGAAAGCCUGAUGCUCUCCUUCUAAGGGGCAUUUUUAUAUGCGGUAAUUAAAAAUUUCAGUGGGGUUCCACCUGAAAUAUUCCAGGAGAAUAUGGCGUAGGAGGACAUGGCUUACAAGAGCAGACCAUAUAGAUUACUGUUUGCUAAAUGAUGGUGUCACCUAAGCUUGAGAACUCCAGGAAAUCCAGUGUGUCAGUGACUCUCCUUUCUGAUCAGCUCUGGUGUGACACUGUGUGUGUGCACCUUGGCUUUUAUAAAGUUGUAGAUCUUCAGGAUUGAAGGCCUCUGGAAGAACCAUGUUUGGUAAGCUGCUUGUCAAGCGACUACUAGUUUACCAGAGCAUACUUUUUAAAUUUUAUUUGGCUGAAAUUAAGAGCACUGAAAGUUAUUAUUGCUGCAAACAGGACUAUAAAAGCCAAAGAAAAGCCAAGGGAAAAUACACAAGACUGAGGUUCUCAAAGAGAAAAGGGCAGAGGGCUGAGCCAAGUAACUACCACCAUAAUCUGUCUCUAUUGAGUGGCUGCAGUUUUGACCAGCAAACAAUGAGAGCAGCCAGAGGUACCUGGAGAUCCUGGGACAAAAUACAAGUUUUCAGGUGUUGCCAUCUGUGCGUCUUUCCUGAGGGGGCAGGGAGAAGCUUCCCCAGCUGACCCUGUGCCUCCUCUUGAUACUCAGUAAUAGCACCCAUGCAAACCCUUUAGUCUGAGGAGGCAAAGCUCCAAUGAGCAAGGUAAGUCUUCAGCAGGGCUUGUCCUGAGAGUUUUUUUAGUGUUUGGUGUCUUUCAAAAGGAGCACUAGGAGAGCAUCUUACUGCUGACUGAGAGCGUUAGAAGUAAAUCUGAAGUGAGCUAGUGAUGAUACAAAGGCCUAUAACCUAAAUGGAUGUAAUAUAAAUAUGGGCUGGAAGGGUGCAGAUGCUAACUGUAACGCAGAUGGUGACAUUUAUUGACUGACAUUUAUUGACACUAUUAUCAUUAGAAAUCUUUUAGCACCUUGGCACUUCAGUACCUACAUGGGAAACAGGCAGACCAAACAAAUCAUACCGUAGGACUAAAAAUAAAAGUUCCACCAACUCAAGUGGUGUGAUGCAAAAAUAGUCCAGAGAGAACUUGAAAGCCUGGUCGAGCUGAUAGGUUACACUGAGCCAAGGCUGGGGCUCUGAGCAGGUGCCAAAGGGAACAAGUUGCUGAAACCCUCCCCUGAGCAUGCCCUGAGGAUUAGUGAGUGCAACCCCCACACCCAAAAAAUAGCAAGGGUGACCCAACACAUGGUAACACUUGCUGUGUGCCACGGAGAGACAGAGAUUUCACUUGUGAAUGGGGACUGUUCCAGUUUUAUAGUCUUAUCAAAUGUCCCCAGUGUGCUGACUGCUUGUAUAACUGUAAGAAUCCGCUUGUGAACCUCACCAACUAACCAAUCCCAUCAAAGUCAGUCAUCUUCCUUUUUAUCUGAGCAAAGUGUGGAAAUGUUAUCUUGAAUAUGCUGAUGGGAGAGUUGUACAUUUUGUUGCUCCAGCUCAAUGCGUUGACCAAGAGCCUCCAGCAUCUCUGUGUUCUCCUCCACUCUCUCAUCCUGUGCGCUGCCCUUCCAUCCUCCAUACUUAGAAUCAUCUUGAAAACUGUUUUCUACUGCCAAGGACUUUGGAAUAAAGAGGAGGAAAGGCUAUUCACACCAGCAGAAGGAUGCUACUUCACUCUGUUAAUGGCUGCAUGUUUAACAAUAAAAGAGGCAUAGGUCUGUAGCAAACUGAUAGGAUUGGAAAAGAUGAAUAGGAAAGGACUCUACAGAAUAUGUCCAAGGGUCACUAUGUGUAGCUUCCAACCCAAUGGGCCUGUAUCCCAGAGAAGAGGAUUUUCUUCCAUUAACCUAGUUUAGUGAGUGAGUUUUCCAUGUGGCAAUGGAUGAGUGUCAUUAGCAUUCACUCAGAGUGAGAGAAUGGCUUUGACUGUUGUUCUGCUUAUUUGACUUCUCACACUAAACUUUAUCCAUCAUGAUGAAUGCUUGGCCCACUUUGAUUCUUGAAGGCACAACACAAAGCCUGCUGAGGAGCAGAGCCUGGGCGAAGUCCAGUCCCUACUAUUGCAGUCAACUCAUAAAAUCACUUUAACCCACUCAUUACACUGCCCUCUAAAAACAACUGGGUUAUUUGCCACACUAUUUCUUAUCAGCACUGGAGAUUUUUAUGGCUAGAAGAAUCAAAUAUCUUUUUUUUUUUGAUUUCCAGCAUAAAUUUAUUCUGGACUUGUUUAUAUCCAUUUGUUCUUGUGCUGCCAUUGUCCUUAAGCUUAAAUAGCUUCUUGCCUGUCUAUCUGUGAUAUUUACUCACUGAUGUAUUUACAGACAGCUCUCCUGCACGCUUUCUCAGGCUUUGUUUCAUCAGGGCAAACAUGAUAAGCUCCAAUAAGAUCACUGUCAGUCUUCUAAUGACUCUGUUUCAGUGCGAUUUAAUUUUUCUGGAACAUGAGUGUUCAAGUCUCUGUGCUAUACUCCAAUGAGGUUUUACUAAUGACUCUUUUAACACCCUGUCUUACCUUUACUCUGCCCAAAAUUUUUCAUCAGAUACAGCCUAUAAUCCAAUUUGCCCUUUUUAGGGAUGGUCAUGUCUGUUGCUUGUAACCAGAGCUCUUUGCAGCAGUUUUAAAAAGAGCUCACUGUUUAGGAGAUGUGACAGAUUCAUCAGCUUCCUUCCAGGGAGCCGUGACAACUUGGACCAGCUGGGGAUCUGCAUCUGAGCUUCCAGUUUGCAGGACACAGCUUUCCCUGCGGCUGGCCCAGAACGGUGGAGCUCACUGCCAACUCCCCUCCCCCAGACCUUCCCCAGGGGAGCCGCUGAUUUGCUUCCGCCUGGCCGGCAAUGUUAAAACGGCACUUACUCUAUGUCAUGCUAACAAAAUACAGGGCAAAAAUUGGCAAAUACCUUUCAUUCAAUAUGUACAUGUUAAAUCUGAACUUCUCAGUUCCUUUUUUUUGUUGGUGUUUAAAUUCAAAGUGUUUUCAAUCAUUUUAGCCAUUUUGAUUUCUAGGAAAUUUUUCUUUCCUUAAUCUCUUUCUUAAUCCUCAUUAAGUGUGACUAAAACUUUCAAAAUGACAAUUAAAAUAGAUUUCUUUCCAUGGAGGGAGCCUAUGUGUGACCGUGCUGCUGCCUAUUGUCCUUCUUCAUUUCUUCCUUUCUCAUAUCUGCUCUUCAUGUUCUGUCAGCUGUGAUUUAGACUAAGCCCUUCGUGGCAAGGACUUUUUGUUUCAUAUUCAUCUUUGCCUAAAGCAGAGACAUUUAUUAUUGGUUUCUGAAAUUAUAAAGAAUGUUACGGAUCAAUGCCAUUAUCCUGAACUGCACUUAGAAGACUAAAGCAGCGUAGCUGUUGAAUUGAUGCUCUCGGGAGCAUAGAAGCAGAGCUACAUUUUGGUCAAUCUCUUGCCAGAGCACUCUGUGGCUAUUAUUUCCAUCCAAAAAUCAUAGCCAGGGUAAAAGCUACAAAAGCACUGAUGACUGUGAUAAAGCUUCUAACACACAGAAUUGUCUUAGCUGCCCUGUCAAAUGAUGGCAACAAAAUGUUUAACUGUAAAGAGAGCAACAGCUAAGAAUCUGGCAUCAGCCUGGACACUGACCACGAUCAGAGCAUGGUGUCAAUAGGCGUCAUUGGUUUAAAACAAAGAUGCGGUGACAGUAUUUCUGCUUCUGAAUAGAUCCUAAAGGCAUUUGCCCAGGAAGUAGUAGAUAGAGCAAGUGGGCCAGAGACUUGAGAGAUUUGAAAUCCAUGUCCAGGGGAAAUAAAUUAGGGAGUUGAGCUCUGGGGCAUCUCUCUCCCAGCUAAAAGCAUUGUCCAUGCUCAGCAUCCCUGUUUUCCCUCAGACCCUGCAACCCCCGUGAAAGAGGUUUCUGAGCACCUUUUCCUUUGCUUUCUGUUUUAGGACUGGCUUGGACAUUUCUGCAUGGAAAACGCUGCAAACCCUGUUUGAGAGGUCCAGGUCACCCAUCACACUGCCUCAGAGCAUCACACUGCUGUUGCUCUUUGUCAAGCGUCUGCUCUCAGGGUCCCACAUCUGUAAUUCUGCAUUGGCACUUUAGCUGGGCUCUGCAUUAUACUCAUUUAAUUAUGCAUGAUUGACAGGCUUCUCGGGACUAGAAAUUCUGCAUCUGCCUAUGAAAGUACUUUGCAACUUGGAAGAUAAUGAAAUAAUUGGUUCUGAGUUGGUUCUUCUCCAUUGUCACCCACGUCAGUACACUGCAGCUCAUAGAUCUGCCUUCCCGAGUUCACCACCAGCAUCUUUGGCAUGUAGAUUUUAAUUGACACCUUCAGAUGACAAGAUGACAGGUAGUCAAUCAUCAGCAAAGAGAACUGGUGAUAUUGAACUUGUGAUAGCUGGUUUCAGUAACUGCAAAAGACUAUCUCCACUACAAGCCUCCGGAUACUUUUGAAAAGCAGGUUUAACCAGACAUGGAAACGUAUCUCUGAGUUUAGUACAGAAGCAUUGCUUUGUUGGGGUGAGGUUUUUAUUCCAAAGGGCUGGCAACCUCCCUAGGAUGAAACUACAGAGGUAAUUCUGUGUAGCCCAGGAAUCCCAGCACAGCGAUUGAUCCAGUGUGACCCCUACAUACCUAAUCACAGACUGUCAAGGCAAUUUCUGUUCAAGCUGGACCGAUAUUUAAUUAGUCUCCUCCCCACAAAAUCCUGACCUUGGUUUGGCACAGGGAAAACAGAGUUGCAUAUCUGGCCAAAGCAUCCCAUUGCAGCUCCGGGGGUAGGCAGAGGAGGUAUAAACAGCUGGAGAUGAAAAAUGGCAGAUGAGAGUCCAAACUGAAGCAGCAGCUCUCUCCACCUAUUUUCUACCUCUCUUGCUCUCCCUCCUCUAAAACCUGUUGCUCAGGCUAAAAGACUAAAUAAACCCUGUAGAAGUACAAUUGCCUUUUGGAGACUUUCAGUUAAUCUAUAGUGCAGAUCAGAGAAAGUAGCUCUACCAGGAACUUUCUGGUCAAAUUGAAAACUGGCAAAUUAUUCCUGCUGCUUUGUCUUUCAACCACUUGCUAAUCUGUGGCAGGAAUUUUUCUUCUACCCCUCAUGCCUACCUGGUUUCCUUAGUAACUUCUUACAGGAACAUGACAAAAGCUGGGAAAAGGCCCAAUAAACUGUCAACUGCUUAAUCUUCAUUUACGGAAAAUGAUGUGCUGUUAAAUCUCCACCAAAGGUGGCUGAUGUAUUUCAUUGACUAUUUCUUUCUGUCUUGUUCAAGAAAGGGCCUAGAUAUU